AUGCAAGUUAGUACUGGCGCUCCCAAACUUACAACUUAUCCUGCCCGGCCGCACCCUCCCUCUCUUGCCUCUAAUUGUCUCCCUAAAGCUCAAAGGCUCAGAUGGGGGAUAUCAAGAGCACCAGACAGGCAACGGGUUUCCUACAGUCUGUUCUGCACAACCCAGAAGAAGACUUACUCUUUGGGUGGAGGCACUUUGGAAUCCGGCUGCCUUCUCCUCCAGCCAGUCUCCCAGGUCCCGGCCGAGCUUGGCCUCCGGCCCCCGCCACCGCUUCCAGCCCUUCUUGCGGUUCCUAGCGCCCAGGCCCCCGCCCGCCGCGAAGGGAGCCGGCCCGGGUCGCGCGAGUUGGGGCCGAAGCCUAGGAAGGCCGCCUCGGCAGGAGGAGAAGCAGCACCAAGAGGAGCCGCCGCCGCCAUCUUGGGCCACGAGAAAGAGCGAGUCGAGGGGGCAGGGCGCCGGCGUCGCUUUCCUUCUGCGCGGAACAGGAAGUGAGAACGGUCAACUUCCGGUGGCCAUUUUGGGAGAGGCACCCGCCAUAGGAAGAGAGAGGGCGGGGAGUGGAGAGGGGCAGGUGAGGUCAACUUCCGGUGUUAAAUUUAAAGGCGCCGUCCUCCCCUCAUCAUCAUCAUUGAAUUGUAGAAUUGUACGGAGACACGAGGGUCAUCCAUCCCAACCCCUUGCAUGGCAGGGAGGGGUGAACUAGAUGACCCUCGGGUCCCUUCCCACUCUUCUAUGAUUCUAAUGCAGGAAUCUUUUGCCCAAAGCAGAACUCGAACCCACAACCCUGACAUAGAAGACCAUCGUGUUCUGCUGAAUGAGCUAUCCCAGCAGCAGCCAUUAAGCAAUAGGAGUUGCAGUAUCAUCUAUUUAUUUAUUACCCCCACUGGGCUCAGGGAAUGUAUGCAGGCUGAGCGGGGAGGUCGCUGAGAUACUUGGCUUGCCCUUUCCUCCUGAGCGAUGUGGCAUUUGGGGUUUGUGAGUUUAGAGAGAGAAGGCGGGUAAGAAAUUGCACAAUUAGAAAUGCAUGGAGUUAUGCACGGGGUGGAGAAAGUGGAUGGAGGAGAGUUUUCCUCCCUCUUUCAUAACACUGAAGCUCCGACCUGGCUGCCCAUUGAAUCUGAAUGUUGGAACGGUGGAACUCCCUCCCACACAUAGCUGCCAACUUACAGAUUUGAAAAUAAUAAUAAUAAUAAUAAUAAUAAUAAUAAUAAUAAUAAUAUCUUUAUUGUCAUUGCCCCCUCUCGGGGACAACGAAAUUACUUGGCUUCUCCAUCCACCCGGGUAGGGCACUCCACACAAAAUCAAAACAACUAUAAAAACACUAAUUAAAACAAUACAGUAUAAUACAGCAAGGAAGAUUAGAUGACUUUCAAAGUCCAGGCUUCCCAUUCAGGGCCGAGAUCGCUCUGGAGAAGAAGCUGUUCUUAAGACGGCUCGUUCUUGUCUUCAUCGUCCUGUAUCUCCGUCCCGACGGCAGGAGCUCGAAGAGACAGUGACCAGGAUGCGAUGGAUCUUUUACUAUGUCCAGUGCCUUCCUAUGGCACCUUAUAAGGGACCAGCAGCCUCGAAAAUAAGGGAUCAGCAGCCAGAAUAAGGGAUUUUGCUUGGCUUAUGAGUUCCAUCGGCCCUUCCCUGCCCGAGAGGGAGGGAGAGAGAUUCUCGCCCACGCCAUCCAUGAGCCCGGCAUGAGGUGGUUGCGGCAGCGCCGUGGCCACUGAAACACCGCCCUUCUGCAUCCCUCCCCAUCCCUUCCUCUUCCUUUUCCUCCUCCCUCAGGCCGCCUCCUCAGCUGCUGCCGCCUCCGGCUUCCCCUGGCAGCGUGGUGGAAGUCUCACAAGAGAGGGGCUGUCUGCCCGCCUGCCGCCAC
rnacentral:lncRNA from 1 species